GGAACUGAUACUAAUUUCAUGUUAAGCGGAAAACACUUCUCCUUCAGCAUAGGUUGCAAUAUGUUAUUUUCUCUUUCCUGCAGGUAGCCUGUGGCCCUUUCCUGGCUGUUUUUUCCCCAUCCCAUUUUUAGGGACAAACAGCAGUGUUCGGCAUUGCUGAACAAGGAGAUAACCACUGCUGGCUUCUGGCAAGCCGUGGAGCUCUCCUGUGAGGCUGACUGCUUAAUGAAUUUGAGUGAGGAAGGAGGAUUCCUCUCCCUGACCUCAGGGCCUGGUCAGAGCCCCAGACAUUGCUUUAUACAGAGCACAGGAGAUGAUCUGGAAGACAGACAGUGAGAGCUUAUCAUCUAUGAAAGGUAGAUGUGCACCACAUGAGAGAAAAGGAGGAGAAAUAAAAUAAGCCUGGACAUUAUGCCAGCUAUUGGAUACCCUGUACCACGAUGCUUAAAUCGGGAGGAUAAUGUAUCUGCAUCAUGCAGCUGUACAUGGAUAAAGCAGCUGGAUAUAUUUCUGCUCCUUAGUAUUUACAGCGUUCAGACGAGCACGGAUCUUGAGGGAGUUCAGAGAACUGACUGCUAAAGAUGUCAGCAAUCAACCCAUAAGCAGAACGAUAUUUGUAAAGACUGGGCUCUGUGCUUGUUUGAGUGAGGGGUCUGAGAGAGCAGCAUGGAUCAUAUACAAGUCUUUUUGAAACUGAAGUGAGGUCAGAAGGUCUAAGAGGUGGAAGAAACUGCAGAGCUUGGAGGAUGUGUGUGUCACUGUGAAAACUUAUCACAGCGGUAUAGGGAAGAAUUAUUAAAACAGAGGCAACAUAUCGCUGAGUCUGUGAAUUAUUUCCAGAAAUGAAGUCCUGCUCAUGUAAGUGGCUGCUGAUGGAAGGAUGUAGCAGUAACCUGCUAUUUGACUCAAACAGCAUUUCUUGGGCUACAGCAGUUCUUUACGAAGGUCUUCCCAGGUUUAGGUUUAUCUUUUACUUUUCCAGUACUUAACUGAUUUACCCAACGGAGUAUUACUUGAAGAAAAAAAAAAGAAAACCAACUCUGAAUCCCCAUCUUGUGCCCCUCGUUUGGGAGCUUGUUCCCUAGCAUGGCUGGCUCCAUCAGGAGCACUGCUGUCGAUCCCUGCCGGCCUUUUGCCUCUCCCAGUUAGUCCCUGGGAUCACCCUCAAAGGCUUGCUUUCAUCAUGGACAUUUCCAUCUGGAUCUGAAAGUGUCAUGGGUAUUAGUUUAUUAAAGUUUUCCAACAAAAGAAGAGGGGAAGUCUAUAUUUUAAGAGAUAACAUUCUCAGUAAUUUCACAGGGCUGUCUUUCUCAUAAAUACUCAAUGUUUUCAGUCAAAUUGUCUGUAAAUGUCUUGGUCCUCCUAUCAGUUUUCUAACCUCUGUUAAUGCAAGUUACUACAUAACUCUGAUUAGAUACUUGAUAGCUCUUUUAAUACUCGAUAGAAAUUGGCCCAGGUUAUUACCUAUGUUAUAAACUGUAAGAAGGAAAAAAGAAGGGAAAAAAAUUUGGAUUCCCUUGUCUGAGAUAAAUUCCCUUUAUCUAGGAAAUAGCAGAUGUUUCAAAUACUCCAAAAUGUCAUUCUGUUAAGUAAAGCAGAUUCUGUGUGUUCAUUAAAAUUCAUAAGUAAUCCAUAUUUUCACUGGACUAUGCACAAGCUGGAAAGCUGUCUCUUGCUCUUUGCUUCUUGUAAAAUUAACAUACUUAAGAGAAAAGCCAACAGAUUUGCAACUAAUAAGCCUCAGUGAAUUAUAAAGAGUCUGGAUCCUCUGCAUACAUCUAUGCAUGCUACCAUAUAUGGCGAUGUUCUUCUCAAUACUAGCUGUUCCACAAAAAUGUAAUGAUAACAAAUUCAAAACAAAUACCUUUUAGGGACUAGCGUGUCAAUUGCAAAUGAGAUAAUAAAAAUCAUUGUUUACAUCUAAGCGAACACAGCCAGAAAAGAGUGUCAUGCACUAAACUCAAGUGACUACUUAAUCAAGCACUUCGCUUUCCAGGGGUUCAUCAUUUUAGCCUCCGUGUUAGUGGCUUAAAAGAGCUGUGAACUUUGGGAGUUCAGAGAGUCGGUCCAUGCACAGCAUUUUGUUGAAAGCUAGGGGGAAUUUCCCUUAGGGGGAAAUUCUGAGUAAAAGAAAAGGUUGGCUUGUUUUUAAACAAGUGUGUUUUAGAAAGAUUUUACUGAGAAAUAGGUAAUAUAUUAAUGAUACAGUAUCUUCUCAUUUCCGUCACAUUUAAAAUAUUUCAUAUUGCUUAUUCAUUAUAUUCACACACAUACACCUCUCAUGCAUUUCUAUGUGUGUGUGUGUAUACAGACACAUACAUACACAUACCUAUAAAUAUAUAUACAUAUGUGUGUGUGUGUAUGUCUGUCUGUGUGCAAGAAGCCAGUGAACUUCUGGGAUAACACUGAAGCUGCUUUCUGUACUGCCAUCUACUGUCUUCUUAAUUUAAUCACAGUAUUUUGUUAAUGUUAGGAGUUUGUUGUGUUGUUUUCUCUUUAAAAUAAAAAAGCUUAGCUUUUACGUUUGAAACUACUCAAAUUAGUGUAGUUCAGUGAAUUAUCUAAUUAGUUUUGCCUUAAACUUUAUUCCCAGCAUAUUAAAAUACAUAUAUCUAAUAGCAAGGUGCUGUUGUAUAAAAUGUUUCCAUUUUUUUCUCCUAAUUUUUAAGCAUUUUUACUAUUUAAAGAACAAGUGAGUGACAAGCUAAUUAUUUUAUUUGGUUAUGUUUUCAUUAAACAGCAUACGAAGUGUACUAAUUCCCUUUAUUAGCACUGAAAAUGCAGCAGCAUUUAAAUGAGCUCAGCUGCUCGGCGGCCAGGUCCCUGCACCCGACGGUCCUUGUGCAGGUGCUUGGGUGCCUCUCGCCCGGCGUGACUCCUGCUCCGCACCAGGGGUGAGACCCGCACGCCUCCGUGCCGGAUCAUCUGUGCACGUUACAAAGAUAUGCACCUUCACUUCGAAACUCAGUGAAGCACGUACUUCUGAGAGCCUCUGCUUUCAUGGUUGUGGAGAUCAUGAUCAUGCUGAGCUGUGUUCUUGGGAAAGGACAAGGACCAAACUUCCUUUCACCUUCUUCCAUCAGAACAAAAAUAUUACUUCAUUUCUACCACUAAAGAUCUAUCUAUUUCCUGGGGAGCUCUGUGACAAGUGGGCAGCUUCUGUAUGACCUGUACUGGGAAGACACAAAGCAGAUGUUUAGUUAGGCUUUAGUUACACUGGAAGAUUUGCAUAGCCCUGAAAGUUACUGCUUCUGUGUCUUCCAGCAGAGCCUUUUUCUUUGCCCUUGAAAAGACAAUUCGGAGUAUACAUAUUAAUUUGACUCACUUGGUUAUGGAGAAAGAGGCAUCUAGAAUUUAACCUCUGAAAAAACACAAAGUUAAAAAUUCAGGGUUUCGUGUGGCCAGGGCAAUCACAUCUGCAUUCUUUGAAAGUUUAUUUUUGCAACUUGCCACAGAAGCACUUACAGCUCAUUGCAAAAUGAAGAUUUGCAAAUAAUACCUUAGAAGGCAAGUUUUCUGCUGUAUUUUUAGAGAAAAAUGAUGAAGAGAUAGAUUGGUGAUUAUGUGAAAGACUAUUUCUGUUAAUGUGGCAGGAAAGAACCAUAGUAAUGAGGCAGAAUCCCCUGAUUCUGGCUUUUACACAGAUCUUCAGCUAAGUAGUUGGAUUUGAUUGUAGUGUUAACAUAGAGCAAACAGCCAGGGUAUACAUAAGGAUAAAUUGGCUUGCUUAACCCAACAGUCAAUUACAGCUGAUGCAAAGCUACAAAAGACUUAAAGUACUUGAAUGAGGUAAAUUUGCAACCAUGUCCCUCCCCUUUCCCCCUGCCCGCCACGGGACCAGUCCUAAGAAACUUGUGAAUCAGCAAAUGGGGAGGGAGCUGGCAGCACGGCCAGACACAGGGAGGGGAUGAGCAGCUUCCCAUUAUGUUAAUACUCAUAAUCAUCCUCUGCCAUUUCACAUCACAGUAGAGUCUAGGCUGCUUACUGAAAUGAAAAAUACCUCUAAGGCUAACUGGGUCUAAUCACAAUUAAGGCAAAACUAUGCAGAGUCUGUACAACACAGGGUGCUUUUACUAAAACUCACAAACUGCAUGUUCUCUUCCACUCAUUUUUAUGAGUAUAGCUAACAAACCUGUGUUAUUUUUGAUGUACCCUUACAAGUUCUGCUUUUAAAAUAAAUUACAAUCUCAAAAAAUGUAAACACCGCAGCUAAAAAGUAGUUCUGGGAAUCAGUAAUUUAUUAUCAACUUUAUUUUUAGUUUCCGCUGACUUUGACCUUCAGGUCCUUUGGGAAAAAACAAAAGCCCCUAGCCCUCCCAUAUACUUAGUUUUACACUACACAAUUUAUAGCAACUCCGGAUGGAAAAGACUUGCCCUCAUUUGUUUGCUGGCAUGAAGAUAAAUAUAGUCCUGGUUUCUGGAGAAUUAAAAACAACUAUUCCUUUAAACCAUUUUAAUUUACUUUUCAAAUUUAUUUUUCCAUACUUAUCUGAAAGCAGCAGCAGCCUCAACACCACUUUUUAAUAAAGAAUUAUUAAAAUACUUAUUUUGAACCCUUUCAAAACACCACACAGAAUAAAACAGAAUAUUUUUAUUCUAAAAUGCAGGAAAAAAUACUCGAAGACAGCACAUCAUACGGAAAGUGCAGGAAUGGUAAUUUUUCUGAUAUAUUUUUAU